rfam:Sus scrofa isolate TJ Tabasco breed Duroc chromosome 13, whole genome shotgun sequence.
AUCCAGGCUUUUAUCAAAGCCAUCUAAAACUAAUAGUGACUUCCUAU